rnacentral:rRNA from 1 species
CGGUUGAUCCUGCCAGUAGUCAUAUGCUUGUCUCAAAGAUUAAGCCAUGCAUGUCUAAGUAUAAGCAACUUGUACUGUGAAACUGCGAAUGGCUCAUUAAAUCAGUUAUCGUUUAUUUGAUAGUACCUUACUACAUGGAUACCUGUGGUAAUUCUAGAGCUAAUACAUGCUAAAAACCCCGACUCACGAAGGGGUGUAUUUAUUAGAUAAAAAACCAACGCCCUUCGGGGCUCCUUGGUGAAUCAUAAUAACUUAACGAAUCGCAUGGCCUUGUGCCGGCGAUGGUUCAUUCAAAUUUCUGCCCUAUCAACUUUCGAUGGUAUGGUCUUGGCUUACCAUGGUUUCAACGGGUAACGGGGAAUUAGGGUUCUAUUCCGGAGAGGGAGCCUGAGAAACGGCUACCACAUCCAAGGAAGGCAGCAGGCGCGCAAAUUACCCAAUCCCGACACGGGGAGGUAGUGACAAUAAAUACUGAUACAGGGCUCUUUUGGGUCUUGUAAUUGGAAUGAGUACAAUUUAAAUCCCUUAACGAGGAACAAUUGGAGGGCAAGUCUGGU